CAAUAGCGUAUAUUAAAGUUGUUGCAGUUAAAAAGCUCGUAGUUGGAUUUCUGGUAGGAGUGACCGUUCCGAACUUGAUUGUUCGUGUAUUGUGUUUUCUCCAGCCAUCCUUGUGGAGAACUUUUCUUGCAUUAAUUUGUAGGGAUUGGGACCCGCAUCGUUUACUGUGAAAAAAUUAGAGUGUCUAAAGCAGGCAAUCGCUUGAAUACAUUAGCAUGGAAUAAUAAGAUAGGACUUUGGUACUAUUUUGUUGGUUUGCAUACCAAAUUAAUGAUCAACAGGAACAGUUUGAGGAUAUUCGUAUGAACAUGUCAGAGGUGAAAUUCUUGGAUUUUGAUCAGACGAACUACUGCGAAAGCAUUUAUCAAGGAUGUUUUCAUUAA
rnacentral:rRNA from 1 species